GGAAGUGUGUUAAAGGGCAAGGGCAGAUCCAAUUUUCUGCCACCGAAUACAUUAGCAUGGGAUAAUGGAAUAGGACCCUGUCCUCCUAUUUUCAGUUGGUUUUGGCAGCGCGAGGACUAGGGUAAUGAUUAAUAGGGAUAGUUGGGGGCAUUAAUAUUUAAUUGUCAGAGGUGAAAUUCUUGGAUUUAUGAAAGAUUAACUUCUGCGAAAGCAUCUGCCAAGGAUGUUUUCAUUAAUCAAGAACGAAAGUUAGGGGAUCGAAGACGAUCAGAUACCGUCGUAGUCUUAACCAUAAACGAUGCCGACCAGCGAUUAGGAGACGUUGAAUACAAAACACCACCAUCGGUUGCGGUCGUCCUUGGCGUCUCGGUUUCGGCCGGGGCGCGGGGACGGUUUAGCCCGGUGGCACCGGUGAAUGACUCCCUAGCAGCUUGUGAGAA
rnacentral:rRNA from 1 species